GACGAACGCUGGCGGCGUGCCUAAUACAUGCAAGUAGAACGCUGAAGAGAGGAGCUUGCUCUUCUUGGAUGAGUUGCGAACGGGUGAGUAACGCGUAGGUAACCUGCCUGGUAGCGGGGGAUAACUAUUGGAAACGAUAGCUAAUACCGCAUAAAAUUGAUUAUUGCAUGAUAAUUAAUUGAAAGAUGCAACUGCAUCACUACCAGAUGGACCUGCGUUGUAUUAGCUAGUUGGUGAGGUAACGGCUCACCAAGGCGACGAUACAUAGCCGACCUGAGAGGGUGAUCGGCCACACUGGGACUGAGACACGGCCCAGACUCCUACGGGAGGCAGCAGUAGGGAAUCUUCGGCAAUGGGGGGAACCCUGACCGGGCAACGCCGCGUGAGUGAAGAAGGUUUUCGGAUCGUAAAGCUCUGUUGUAAGAGAAGAACGGGUGUGAGAGUGGAAAGUUCACACUGUGACGGUAUCUUACCAGAAAGGGACGGCUAACUACGUG
rnacentral:rRNA from 1 species